AGUCUCUUGUAUUUAUAUAAUUCUGCUGGUCUCUUUCCACAUCUGAAUUUUAAAUAUCUGUUAUAAGGCAGUGCUGCUUUAGUGGUGAGCCAAGUUUUUCUUCUAAAACACAUGUUCCCUAAAGCCUUCAUCCUUUACUGCCUUUGUUCUGAUUUAAAGCUACCAAACCCAAUAAAGCAGUCUUCUCCUCCCUCUGCCCAGCCCACAUGCAUCAGGAUUAACACCCUGAUUAAUUUAUAUCAAGUGAUUCAACAGUGAAUUAACUUCUCUCUAAUUUCUACCUGCCUUCAUGUAAAUGUGCUGAUGAAGAUGAUGCUGAUAAUGUGAGGAUAUGAUAAACCCAGAAAAAGCUACUGUGGAGAACUGAAAAAAUGGGGUAGACAUUAAAUCCAGAGAAUGGUAGUGAGAUUAAAAAAUAAAAAUUGUUGACUGCCUUUUCUAAAUAGGCAUUUUGUGGAUACAAUUUUUAUGUGCCUCUUAUCAAUACCUAAAAUGGCCUUAUCAACAGCUAAAAUGGCCUAGAGAGGCAAAAACUCUAUCCCACAAAAUAAAGGUCGCUUUUUGCUAUCUCAGGGGAAGCAUCAACACCCGAGGCAUGCAAUUGCUAGUGAAAAAAAUAAAAGAAAGAAACCAAACCAACUGUGGAAAACUAAAAUAAAAAGAGUUGUGAAGCUUGUAUGGCUCUAUGAGAUAGAAAAGUUCUUAUUGAAGAUUUUGUUUGGGAUGCUCUUGAUGGGAAACUUGUUGUCAUAUUCAGGCCUGUUAACUGUAUUAGUUAACAAAGGAGAGCAUUCAAAAGCCUCCUCAGAGGCAUAUUUGUCUUCUUUUUCUUUCUCCUUUUUAUUUUCAUUUUCUUUUCCUCCUUUCUAAAUGGAAACCAGCUUUCCCAGAAGAAUGUUUUACAGAAUCUGCUUCCUUGAGACCAGAAUGAGGCAACAGCUGUGCUUGCAGCAAGUUGCAACAUCUCCUUGCUGGAUGGAGGCACAUCUUGUCACAAGUGGUGCUGGUAGCAAAAGCUCAGUGAAAGAACCUGCCUGCCUGGGGGCUGUUCACUCCUCUGAGGACCCCAUCUGCAGUGCUACAACCAGAUGUGCCUUUGGAUGAAAUCAAAUUCAAGAUCUGCUCAGCUGAAAACUAGAUGAGUGAGGAACACUCACGUUCACACAGCACGAAGCUGUAGGCCUCAACAGGAAGCU